rnacentral:rRNA from 1 species
UACCGUGAAACUGCGAAUGGCUCAUUAAAUCAGUUAUCGUUUAUUUGAUAGUACCUUACUACUUGGAUACCUGUGGUAAUUCUAGAGCUAAUACAUGCUAAAAACCCCGACUUCGGAAGGGGUGUAUUUAUUAGAUAAAAAACCAAUGCCCUUCGGGGCUCCUUGGUGAUUCAUAAUAACUUCUCAGAUCGCAUGGCCUUGCGCCGGCGACGGUUCAUUCAAAUUUCUGCCCUAUCAACUUUCGAUGGUAAGGUAUUGGCUUACCAUGGUUUCUACGGGUAACGGGGAAUUAGGGUUCGAUUCCGGAGAGUUAGCCUGAGAAACGGCUAACACAUCCAAGGAAGGCAGCAGGCGCGCAAAUUACCCAAUCCUGAUACAGGGAGGUAGUGACAAUAAAUACUGAUACAGGGCUCUUUUGGGUCUUGUAAUCGGAAUGAGUACAAUUUAAACCUCUUAACGAGGAACAAUUGGAGGGCAAGUCUGGUGCCAGCAGCCGCGGUAAUUCCAGCUCCAAUAGCGUAUAUUAAAGUUGUUGCAGUUAAAAAGCUCGUAGUUGAACCUUUGGCCUGGCUGGCAGGUCCGCCUCACCGCGUGCACUUGUCCGGCCGGGCCUUUUCUUCUGGAGAACCGCAUGCCCUUCACUGGGUGUGUUGGGGACCAGGACUUUUACUUUGAAAAAAUUAGAGUGUUCAAAGCAGGCCUUUGCUCGAAUAUUACAGCAUGGAAUAAUAAAAUAGGACGUGCGGUUCUAUUUUGUUGGUUUCUAGGACCGCCGUAAUGAUUAAUAGGGACAGUCGGGGGCAUCAGUAUUCAAUUGUCAGAGGUGAAAUUCUUGGAUUUAUUGAAAGACUAACUACUGC